rnacentral:misc_RNA from 1 species
CAACCCUCAAGCCCCCAGGGGCCUGGUGUUGGGGACCGGCCGCCCGCCCAGCGGCGGCCGCCCCCGAAAUGCAGUGGCGACCUCGCCGCAGCCUCCCCUGCGUAGUAGCACAACCUCGCACCGGAGCGCGGAGACGGUCACGCCGUUAAACGCCCAACUUUCAAG